rnacentral:rRNA from 1 species
UACGAAGGGGGCUAGCGUUGCUCGGAAUCACUGGGCGUAAAGGGUGCGUAGGCGGGUCUUUAAGUCAGGGGUGAAAUCCUGGAGCUCAACUCCAGAACUGCCUUCGAUACUGGGAGUCUCGAGUCCGGGAGAGGUGAGUGGAACUGCGAGUGUAGAGGUGAAAUUCGUAGAUAUUCGCAAGAACACCAGUGGCGAAGGCGGCUCACUGGCCCGGUACUGACGCUGGGGUGCGAAAGCGUGGGGAGCAAACAGG